rnacentral:rRNA from 1 species
CCUACGGGAGGCAGCAGUGGGGAAUAUUGCACAAUGGGGGAAACCCUGAUGCAGCGACGCCGCGUGAGUGAAGAAGUAUUUCGGUACGUAAAGCUCUAUCAGCAGGGAAGAAAAUGACGGUACCUGACUAAGAAGCCCCGGCUAACUACGUGCCAGCAGCCGCGGUAAUACGUAGGGGGCAAGCGUUAUCCGGAUUUACUGGGUGUAAAGGGAGCGUAGACGGCAGCGCAAGUCUGGAGUGAAAUCCCAUGGCUUAACCAUGGAACUGCUUUGGAAACCGUGCAGCUAGAGUGCAGGAGAGGUAAGCGGAAUUCCGAGUGUAGCGGUGAAAUGCGUAGAUAUUAGGAGGAACACCAGUGGCGAAGGCGGCUUACUGGACUGUAACUGACGUUGAGGCUCGAAAGCGUGGGGAGCAAACAGGAUUAGAUACCCCUGUAGUC